GUGGGGAAUAUUGCACAAUGGGGGAAACCCUGAUGCAGCAACGCCGCGUGAAGGAAGAAGUAUUUCGGUAUGUAAACUUCUAUCAGCAGGGAAGAAAAUGACGGUACCUGACUAAGAAGCCCCGGCUAACUACGUGCCAGCAGCCGCGGUAAUACGUAGGGGGCAAGCGUUAUCCGGAUUUACUGGGUGUAAAGGGAGCGUAGGUGGUAUGGCAAGUCAGAUGUGAAAGCCCGGGGCUCAACCCCGGGACUGCAUUUGAAACUGUCAGACUAGAGUGCAGGAGAGGUAAGUGGAAUUCCUAGUGUAGCGGUGAAAUGCGUAGAUAUUAGGAGGAACACCAGUGGCGAAGGCGGCUUACUGGACUGUAACUGACACUGAGGCUCGAAAGCGUGGGGAGCAAACAGGAUUAGAAACCCCAGUAGUCC
rnacentral:rRNA from 1 species